AUUGAACGCUGGCGGCAGGCCUAACACAUGCAAGUCGAGCGGAUGAAGGGAGCUUGCUCCUGGAUUCAGCGGCGGACGGGUGAGUAAUGCCUAGGAAUCUGCCUGGUAGCGGGGGAUAACGUCCGGAAACGGGCGCUAAUACCGCAUAAGUCCUGAGGGAGAAAGUGGGGGAUCUUCGGACCUCACGCUCUCAGAUGAGCCUAGGUCGGAUUAGCUAGUUGGUGGGGUAAAGGCCUACCAAGGCGACGACCCGUAACUGGUCUGAGAGGAUGAUCAGUCACACUGGAACUGAGACACGGUCCAGACUCCUACGGGAGGCAGCAGUGGGGAAUAUUGGACAAUGGGCGAAAGCCUGAUCCAGCCAUACCGCGUGUGUGAAGAAGGUCUUCGGAUUGUAAAGCACUUUAAGUUGGGAGGAAGGGCAGUAAGUUAAUACCUUGCUGUUUUGACGUUACCAACAGAAUAAGCACCGGCUAACUUCGUG
rnacentral:rRNA from 1 species